rnacentral:rRNA from 1 species
CCAGGCUUGACAUCCUGCGAAUUUCUACGAAAGUAGAAAGUGCUUUAUUGAGCGCAGUGACAGGUGAUGCAUGGCCGUCGUCAGCUCGUGUCGUGAGAUGUUUGGUUAAGUCCAUCAACGAGCGCAACCCUUAUAGUUAGUUGUAUUUUUCUAGCUAGACUGCCCUGGUAACAGGGAGGAAGGAGGGGAUGAUGUCAGGUCAGUAUUUCCCUUACGUCUGGGGCUACAAACACGCUACAAUGGCCGGUACAAAGGGCAGCCAAGUCGCGAGACGGAGCAAAUCCCAUCAAAGCCGGUCUCAGUUCGGAUAGCAGGCUGAAACUCGCCUGCUUGAAGUCGGAAUCGCUAGUAACGGUAGGUCAGAACACUACCGUGAAUACGUUCCC